GACGAACGCUGGCGGCGUGCUUAACACAUGCAGUCGAACGGAAAGGCCCUGCUUUUGUGGGGUGCUCGAGUGGCGAACGGGUGAGUAACACGUGAGUAACCUGCCCUUGACUUUGGGAUAACUUCAGGAAACCGGGGCUAAUAACGGAUAGGAGGUCCUGCUGCAUGGUGGGGGUUGGAAAGUUUCGGCGGUUGGGGAUGGACUCGCGGCUUAUCAGCUUGUUGGUGGGGUAGUGGCUUACCAAGGCUUUGACGGGUAGCCGGCCUGAGAGGGUGACCGGCCACAUUGGGACUGAGAUACGGCCCAGACCCCUACGGGAGGCAGCAGUGGGGAAUAUUGCACAAUGGGCGGAAGCCUGAUGCAGCAACGCCGCGUGCGGGAUGACGGCCUUCGGGUUGUAAACCGCUUUCGCCUGUGACGAAGCGUGAGUGACGGUAAUGGGUAAAGAAGCACCGGCUAACUACGUG
rnacentral:rRNA from 1 species